CGGUGAAUAGCGCAGUUUGGUAGCGCAUCUGGUUUGGGACCAGAGGGUCGGGGGCCGGAAGCCGGUCCAAUCGAAUCCUUCUUCACCGACCA
rnacentral:tRNA from 5 species